GCACUCACGUUUCGUGCUCGAGGCGCGCGGCCCUUUGUCGCAAGCGCGCGCGCGCGCUUAACUAACUCACCGAGAGGAGAAAUCUAACGAGUAUAUAAUGUCACGAGUGUUUGAAAUUAAAUAUUACGCGAAGGUCAGAUUUUUUGCGCGGGGUUUUGUAUGAAAAUCGAAAAAAAAAAAAAAGAAACAAGAAAAACAGUGUUGUUUGUUCGAGACGACUGUACUGUGCUGUGAAAAUCGUUCGCAAUUGGAUAGGAAGUUCUUACUAGUGAUUGAUAAUCAGUGACUUUAUUAUCUACGUAUUUCUCAUUCACCUCUUACCCAUUCUAUCUUCCUCUACUCUAUCCUACCCCCACCCUCCCUCCCCCGGCCAUUGGCCA